GAUGAUUCUCCUGAAAGUAGCACACAAAUGAGCAUGCUUAUUACUUAUAAUUAGUACUCUUUUAAAAGACCAAAAUGGUUGCGCCUUUGAGGAAAGUUUCUAGCCUUAGAUUAGGACAAUUUACUUUCCCUCCGUGCGCACCCUGCAGUAGUAAUGUAAUAUCUACCUGCCUAAAGCUGAAACCAUGUUUGAAGGAGGGGAAGCCGAAAAUUUGCCUACAGCAGCUGCCAAAGGUUACUAGCUAGAUUGAGAAACAACAAAAUCUAACCGAAGGCUAAUAGAUCAUCAGUGGUGUAACAAAAGAAGGCAGAACAGGCAGGAAAUUAAAGGUAAAACAGGAAACUCAAGUGUUCAAAGAAAAAAAACCAAAAAAGAUCGGGCUGGAAGAUUGACAUAGACAAUCUUAUUUGCUUGUGAGAGCAAAUGUACACUUGUGAUGGAUAUUAUUUGCUUUUUCUUUUCACUUGUGAGAAUUACUGCUGAAUUUAAAUGCUUCUUGGUUGAGUUUAACCAAGUACCACA